rnacentral:lncRNA from 1 species
AAUCCAAAGGGUCGGCAGGAAUUCAGACGUGUUGGGAAGUAGUAUGUAGGAAGAGAAGAAGGGGCUCAGUGCAGUUAGUAUGGGCUAAUUUGGGCGAAGGAAAGUAGCAGUUAUAUGUAAAAAUUAUGACCAUGGUUACUAAUAAUUGAUAUUCCUCUUCAGGUGUUGUGUCUCAUUUCCUUAUAGCCAGGUAACUGUACACAAGCUUGCCUUGCCACUACACUAGUCUCUUCCUUCCUACCGCCUCCUGUAUCCACUGCCAGUAAUCUCCAAAGCUAGAUUGUAGUUCUGUGUCUCCUGUGUGGUCUCUUCCUAACAUUCCAUCCCUUCAGAUCUGACCUAACAGAUCAGCUGCUGUUAGAUUCUCUAAACACAUGUCCUACCACUUUGGUCUGGCUCUGCACUUAUUUGUGUCAUAGACAUUUCAGACUACUUCCUGGCCCUUUCUCUUCUCAGCAACUGUUCCUCUCGUCCCUUUGUCUGUGUCAUAUUAGCUCUCCUUUGGAAUGAGCCAACCACUCAAGCAAAGAUGGAUAACUUCCUGCAGUGUGCCAGGCUCAAGUUAGCCACAUUGCUGAGGUGUUUUGUCAUGGUAUGAGAUGGCUAAUUUGAAGUCCGUUUUGUUGAUGGUGGUGAUUUUUCUAUUGUUCUUUUGUGUGUUUUGGUGCUGGGGAUUAUUAGGUCAAUCCAUGCCUGGCUAUGCCAGGCAGUUGCUUUAUCACUAACUGAAACCCCCAGAACAUAAUUUGGAAUUCUUGCUAUACAGGCCAGCUCUCACUAACUGUAACUGUAACAUCAUAUUAGGAAAGGGAGAAAAAAAAAAAAAAAAGAUUUAGCACCUAUCGUGUGCCAGACAUCGUGCUUGUGGCUUUGUAUACAUUAAAUUCUGAUAAUAAUCUUGAAAAUAGUUGUUCUCUUUAAAUAGUUGGGGAAAUUCCUUCUAAGUGAAAGUUUUGUUUUUGUUUUUUUUCCUGAAGAUCACAUAGCCAGUAAAUAGCAAAGACAAGUUUUGAAAACAGGCCUAUUUGAAUCUAUUCUUUCUGAUGAUGAUAAUAAUUGAGUCUCUUCUGUGUUCCUGGUAUUAUACAAGGUGCUUUUUAUGCAUUAGUCAUUAAAUACUUGCAUAAAUUUCAUAAGUUACCUACCAAUUGCUAAUGAAGAAAGAGGCUGUAAUUUUCAAAGUUUUUAAAGGGGCAAAGCCAGAUCUAAUUUUGGCUCCAGAUGUGGAAAAGUUUAACAACUAAUACCACCACUACCACCACUUUCUCCUCUUCUUCUUCUUCCUCCUCCUCUUCUUUUUCCUCUUCCUCCCCUUCUUCCUCUUCCUCCUCCUCCUCCUCAUCAUCAUCAUCAUCUCUUUCUUUCAGACACUGGCUGUGUUGUGUAGCUUUAUGUUAACCUGACACAAACUAAUGUCAUCUGAGAGAAGAAACCUCAAUUAGGAAAAUACCUCUAUAAUAUCCAGCUGUACAGCAUUUUCUUAAUUUGUGUUGAAGGGGGGCAGGCCCAUCACCAUUGUAAGUGGUGCUAUCCCUGGGUUGGUUGUCCUCAAUUCUAUGAGAAAGCAGGUUGAGCAAACUGUAAGAAGCAAGCCAGUAAGCCGCACCUCUCCAUGACUUCUGCAUUAGAUCCUACUUCCAGGAUCCUGCCCUGUUUGAGUCCCCAUCUUGAAUUUUUUAAAUGAUGGACUAUGAUGUGGAAGAGUAAGCCAAAUAAACUCUCUUACCCCCCGCCCCCAAACUUGCUCUUGCUCAUGGUGUUUCAUCACAGCAAUGGAAACUCUAACUAGGACACCAACCAAAACCUUAGCAUGCUUUCUGUAGCACUUUGGGCUUUCUCAUUGUUUUUCUAACAUUACUCCUGUGGCUGCUUGCUGAUAGUCAUUGCUGAACAUGCUGGCCUAACUCAAAAGGUAUGGCUUUCUUUUGUUCUUUUCCAUAGUCUUUCUCCCUGAGAUUUAGAUCUUGACUACUCUAUUUUCUCUCAAACUCUAAUGAUAUUGUCCUUGAGCUUUUUUUUUUUUUUUUUGAGAGAGAAGGGGGUUAAGGUGGGGGGAGUUAAAAAAAAAACCACAAAAUCAAAAUGAUUAGUGAGCAAGCAAGACAAAUUUUCUCCCUUCUUCCUUCCUUCAUUCCUUCUGUCUUAGUCAGGGUUUUAUUGCCUCUUCACGAGGCACCAUGACCAUGGCAACUCUUAUAUAGGAAAACAUUGAAUUGGGGCUCGCUUAUAGUUCAGAGGGUUGGUGUGUUAUCCUUGUGGAAGAAAGCAUGGUGGCACACAGACAGACAUGGUCCUGGAGAGGUAGCUUGAGUUCUACAUCUGGAUCAGCAGAAAGAGAGAGUGACACUGGGCCAGGCUUGAGCAUCUGAAAACUCACAUCACAGCCCACCCCCAGUGACACACUUCCUCCAACAAGGCCACACCUCCUAAUAGUGCCACUCUCUAUGAGCCUAUGGGGAACAUUUUCAUUCAAACCACCACACCUGCCACACCUUCCCUCCUCCCUUUCUUCC